rnacentral:rRNA from 1 species
CGCGUAGGCGGUUUGGUUAGUCUGAUGUGAAAGCCCUCGACUCAAUCGAGGAAGUGCAUUGGAUACUGCCGAACUGGAGUGCAGGAGAGGUGAGCGGAAUUCCAGGUGUAGAGGUGAAAUUCGUAGAUAUCUGGAGGAACAACGGUGGCGAAGGCGGCUCACUGGACUGUUACUGACGCUGAGGCGCGAAAGCGUGGGGAGCAAACAGGAUUAGAUACCCUGGUAGUCC